rnacentral:rRNA from 1 species
GACGGGGGGGGGCAAGUGUUCGUCGGAAUGACUGGGCGUAAAGGGUGCGUAGGUGGCUGUUUAAGUCUGCUGUGAAAGCCCCGGGCUCAACCUGGGAAUGGCAGUGGAUACUGGACAGCUAGAGUGCGGUAGAGGGUAGUGGAAUUCCCGGUGUAGCAGUGAAAUGCGUAGAGAUCGGGAGGAACACCAGUGGCGAAGGCGGCUACCUGGACCAGCACUGACACUGAAGCACGAAAGCGUGGGGAGCAAACAGG